rnacentral:lncRNA from 1 species
GCCAGAAAUGGCUUUAAUAUUUGUGGAUUAUAUGGCUGGCCAGAUGUUGAAAUCAUUCAGAGAGACUGAAAGCAAACCCUUGAGUAUGAGAUCAUUAUUGUGACAUCAUUAAGGUGGAUCAUGAAGAGAAGCAAACAUAGUUUACACUUUUGGAGUUCGACAUGCUGGAUUAUGCUUGAGUUGUGAAAGAGUGAAUUUGGAUAACAGUUGAAGGAUGUAGCAUUAAGAAAGUACAGUCGUUAAUUUCAUGUGUAAACUUGACAGUGCCACUGGAUGCCCAGAUAUUUGGUGUUCUUAAUAGAUUGCUAUUUAAUGUCAUUCAAGAUCUACAAAACAUCAUUUUUGCAUGACUACUGCAAAAGGACUACUGUAAAGAAACCAGUUCCUUUUGCAAGAGGACAAUUUGGACCCUGUUUCAGAAAGCAGUUUGAAGGCAGCAAUUCAGUUAAAUAAGCAGGAAACCAUGGGCAGAGAGAUGUAGAGUGAACCCCACCAGUGUAGAGGAUCUCCUGAAGGAGGACAGCUUUUAUGUUAUUUUCUUAGGAUAUUCAUAUAUUAUAUGAUCAACAAAAAUCACCAAUAAUCAAUUAUACAUAUUUAAGUAAAAUUGAACAUUGUUUUCAUUUAAUAAUAGUCUUUUAAAAUUAAUACUUUAAAGCACAUGAUGGGCAUAUGUUUCAUAUUCAUGAUCAAGUGAACACAACCAGACUGUGGUCGAAUUAAAUCCACCGUGUACUAAUUAAAUAUAUUACUUAUGAUGUGUGUUUUAGAGUCAACUGAAGAGGGGAAUUCAUUUUGCAUAAAGAGUGACAUUCCUAUUUUCUAUUCGUUCAUAAAAUUUUGACAAUGUCAUACCCAAUUUCAAAGUUGUCACAUACCUAUCCUCUAAUUUGUCAGGUUAAAUGAUCAAAAAUUUUGGACAUUAUCUUCUACAGACUUUUCAGUUAUAUUUUCAGUUUCUUGAAAAUUAGGGUAGGGCUGGGGAUUUAGCUCAGUGGUUUUGCCGCCUUCUGCGCAUGUGCAAGGACCCGAGUUUGAUCCCCAGUACCAAAGAAAGAAAGAAAGAAAGAAAGAAAGAAAGAAAGAAAGAAAGAAAGAAAGAAAGAAAGAAAGAAAGAAAAUUAGGGUAAGGGAAGAAAUGUUACUAAAUCUGUGUUUCAGAGCCAUUCAAUGGGAAAAUAGAAGGUUAAAUGUUUUACAAGUAGGUUUCAUUUUAUUUUCUACUAGCUACAUCCAAAUUCUGGCAGCUCCUUGGAGAAAAUUUAAAAUUUUACAUAUAUUCCAUUCAUUGAAAUGAACAUGCCAAUGUGUCAUUUUGAUUGAAGGCUCUACACAUCCCAGAUAUACUUAUCUUUGUAGGGAAAAGCAGCCUUAUAUUUUCUUCAUAGAUAGAUAGAUAGAUAGAUAGAUAGAUAGAUAGAUAGAUAGAGAAUGGAGACAGAAAGGGAUGGACUGUAUCUACAUGGAAACCUCAAACUAUGAAACAAAAGUGAAUUUCACAUAAACUAGAAUAUUUCUACAUGUGAACAUUAAAAAGAUUUAAGACAGAUUUUUCCAUCAUAAUUCUGCUUGUUGCAAAAGGAAUGAUCUCACAAUAAGUUAUUUAUAAAAAAUAAAAGUAAAAUAGCAAUCUGUAGCCUAUCUACAAAUAUAUACAUCUUGUGCCUAAAGUAUUUUG